CCUACGGGUGGCAGCAGUGGGGAAUAUUGGACAAUGGGGGGAACCCUGAUCCAGCCAUGCCGCGUGUGUGAAGAAGGCCCUCGGGUUGUAAAGCACUUUCAGUGAGGAAGAACGCCUGGUGGUUAAUACCCAUCAGGAAAGACAUCACUCACAGAGGAAGCACCGGCUAACUCCGUGCCAGCAGCCGCGGUAAUACGGAGGGUGCGAGCGUUAAUCGGAAUUACUGGGCGUAAAGCGCGCGUAGGUGGCUUGAUAAGCCGGUUGUGAAAGCCCCGGGCUCAACCUGGGAACGGCAUCCGGAACUGUCAAGCUAGAGUGCAGGAGAGGAAGGUAGAAUUCCCGGUGUAGCGGUGAAAUGCGUAGAGAUCGGGAGGAAUACCAGUGGCGAAGGCGGCCUUCUGGACUGACACUGACACUGAGGUGCGAAAGCGUGGGUAGCAAACAGGAUUAGAUACCCCAGUAGUC
rnacentral:rRNA from 1 species